CGUCAUGUCCUUAGCUUUCAGAGAACCCGGGUCCGGUAUCUUCCCCUUUCCAAUCUCCCUGUUUACAAAUAAUUAGAUCUCUGUUGUUUACAAAAUCUAACAAAGAACCAAACGACGGAGUUAGUAGGUUUUACCUGCCGGCGCUGUGGAAAGUGAAACUGAUCUCACAGAUCGGAAUCGAAUGACUGUAAGGAUUGGUGACAGAGACUUUGGCCAAGUACUCAACUGAGUCACGGUUCACGUCUUUGAGGUCAACGUCCGUAACUGAACCCUCCGGUUUAGGGAUCGCGGUGAGUUUAUCCGCCACGAAGUCCUUGGCUUUAUCUAGCAAGCUCGCCAUAAUAACUCUUCUUGUUUAAAUCUCUUUGUUUUUGUUUCGGUGUUUUAGGUUUGUGUGUAUGAUAUGAAGUUUAACUUGGAAUAUAUAUAUAAACGGAUGGGAUUACGAUGUUCUUAUGAAGUCGGUCGAUGUAAAUGGAUUAAAUUUU
rnacentral:lncRNA from 1 species